AUUGAUACGCUUUUACUCAACAGAAAAAGAAUCACGAAGAGAUGGUGCAUUGGCAUGGUACUUGGGUAGAAUCACAAAAAAUUGAUGAUGGACGACUAACGCUGCUGGUGCUCAGGGUUGGGCUUUGGGAAAUUUUAAAGACUGGGAAAAUUGAUUGGGUUCCCAAGUGUUGAAGACCGAAAUCAUUGCAGGUUAUAUUAUUGAGAGUUGUUUAGUUGGCCGGGGAGGCUUGGAAACUGGAAAUUUCAACCUUUUAUUUACCAUCUGACAUUGGUUGAAAGAACAAAAAGGGGGAGAGAGCUUAAGGCUUUAAAAAUUAGGAAACCCAAGAGGCAGUCAACUCUUGUGUAAAGGCACAAUAGGGGUGCUUAGUAGAGAAGCACCUGAAGUAUUUUCAGUGCAAGGCCAAAAUUCGUGCCCAAGCAAGGAAAUCGUCUGGAAGGUUUCUGCAAUUUCAUGAAACUUCCCUGAGAUUAAGAUGGUUUGUAGUGUUAGCAUGCUCUGAGAUAUCCUGAGCGAAAUUUCAGCUGAAAAUCUCUCGAUAAGUUGACUGUGUGUCUCCCCUUGCAAACAAGUGAAUUCUUUGAUGAAACACUCAUUAAUUUCGCUUUUUACAUUCAUCUUAUUUCUUCUUUUUCUUUUAUCUUUUUUCACUUUUAUUGUGAUUUUUAUGAUUUACUCCUGCAUGCUGCUUGUUAUGAGCUAUUUUGUCUCUUCUUUCUGUUAGAUGGAUCCACUGUAUCUCCAGUUGGUAAAUCAACUUGGGACAAAGCUAAGCCGGACCGGGAUGAACACUCUGAUUCUGUAGAUAUACAAAAAGAAACUGAUUUGGUCUACUAUUCUGGAGGUGUGCGCGCAAAUGGUGUUGAAACCAGUGGUUUAAAUGAUGAAUUCUUUGCUAGUGAAGGAAGUAGACAAUGUGCCUCAGCUGAAGGAAAUAUAUUUUUUUGACUCGGCUGUUAGUGAGCAACCUGAGGUGGAGAGCUCUGGUUCAGGUGUGAAACUUGAAAAUGGAUGGCCGCCUACCUCGUGCUGUGCCACUUGGUCUUGAUGAGUUCAAGAGCGAAACAUUUAAUUCCAAAACUAAAUCGGGAAAUGGUGAGGCUGGAGGCAUAAAACACAGAGUGGAGCCCUGGUGGUGCUGAAUACAAUUAUGCUUCAGCUGCAAAGGGAGCCAAGGUCUUGGCUUUUAACAAGGAAGCUAAAGGUGCCUCAAAUAUCUUUGGCAGGGAGAUAAGGACAAGUACCUUCGCAAUCUAUGUUCUGCAGAAGGAAAAUUUGUCGAUGUCGUUCGACUAGGUUCCUACUAUUCUGUAUUCUUCCUUUCCUGCCUGUUCCCCUCCUGAAAUAUUUAUCAAAGUGUGAAAUAUUUCAGAUGGACUACACUGUCUCUAACAUAUGACCACUUUUGAGGUUACCAACCUUCUGGAUGGUAAUGACGCUAAGUGGAUUUUCUGGUCUUGCAAUCAGCUUCACGUCUAUGUGGUUUCUUCAUCAAACAGGUGCCACCACAUACAGCCUUGUGGGGUCGCUGAAUAAUGAUUAAAUUGCUAUGCUUAUUUCGAAUAACGAGGUGUUAGUGACAUCUCUAAUGACUGCUCAAUGUCUGCAGCCUUGUGGGGUCGCUGAAUAAUGAUUAAAUUGCUAUGCUUAUUUCGAAUAACGAGGUGUUAGUGACAUCUCUAGUGACUGCUCAAUGUCUGCAGCCUUGUGGGGUCGCUAAAUAAGAUCCCUCUAUCUGUUGCUGGUAUCCUACUUUUCAAAGUCCCGACCAGUUUAGAGAACUCCGCUAGCAUUUUCUUUGGUCUUGUGGCUGGAGUAUUUUUCGCUUUAGUAUUUGAUGCCAAAAUGCGGGAGAGAUCUCAAUCCUGAACUGUGGUAACUAGUUAGUAUUUGAUGACAACCAAGUUUUUCACUGUGUGAAAGCUGCAUCCGGCUGCCUUAAUAUCUCAUUCUUCAAUUGUGGGAAAUCAUUUUACAGAUUCUCAUGAAGUCUUAAAGAAGAUUCUGCUAGGCAUGAGGAAAACUUCCAUUCGACUUCAUCAGGCCAUCUAGAGAUGUUGUGUACCAAACCUUACCACUAAUUUUUUCACCAAUCUGUAUUUUGUUGUGUAACUCAUUCCUCUGUAUCAUCUAUUCUAGUCUUAUACAAACAAUUAUUCUGAAACUCAUGCUAAAUUGGGAGAAAAAUGAUCUCCCUAAGAUAAUGUUGAAAAAUAAAAUAAAAUCUUUGUUUUCAGGUAUAUGCUAUUUCUGUAUAGAACAAAGUUGAAAGCUUGUAUAGAAGAUGUGUUUAUUGUGUCA